rnacentral:rRNA from 1 species
AGUGAACGCUGGCGGCGUGCUUAAUACAUGCAAGUCGAACGAUGAAGUCCUAGCUUGCUAGGAUGGAUUAGUGGCGCACGGGUGAGUAAUAUAUAGUUAAUCUGCCUUGCACUGAGGAACAACAGUUGGAAACGAUUGCUAAUACCUCAUACUCCAACUUUACAUAAGUUAAGUUGGGAAAGUCUUUUCGGUGCAAGAUGAGACUAUAUCGUAUCAGCUAGUUGGUAAGGUAAUGGCUUACCAAGGCUAUGACGCGUAACUGGUCUGAGAGGAUGAUCAGUCACAUUGGAACUGAGACACGGUCCAAACUCCUACGGGAGGCAGCAGUAAGGAAUAUUGUGCAAUGGGGGAAACCCUGACGCAGCAACGCCGCGUGGAGGAUGACACUUUUCGGAGCGUAAACUCCUUUUAUUAGGGAAGAAUAAUGACGGUACCUAACGAAUAAGCACCGGCUAACUCCGUG